rnacentral:tRNA from 1 species
GCGCCCAUAGCUCAGUUGGUUAGAGCAACUGACUCAUAAUCAGUAGGCCCCUGGUUCAAGUCCAGGUGGGCGCACAA